GCGAGUCUGAAUAGGGCGCAUAAGUAACAGGUCGUAGACCCGAAACCAGGUGAUCUACCCAUGUCCAGGAUGAAGGUAAGGUAAUACUUACUGGAGGUCCGAACCCACGCACGUUGAAAAGUGCGGGGAUGAGGUGUGGGUAGCGGAGAAAUUCCAAUCGAACUUGGAGAUAGCUGGUUCUCUCCGAAAUAGCUUUAGGGCUAGCCUCGAGGUAAAGAGUCAUGGAGGUAGAGCACUGUUUGGACUAGGGGCCCUUCUCGGGUUACCGAAUUCAGAUAAACUCCGAAUGCCAUGUACUUAUACUCGGGAGUCAGACUGCGAGUGAUAAGAUCCGUAGUCGAAAGGGAAACAGCCCAGACCACCAGUUAAGGUCCCCAAAUAUAUGUUAAGUGGAAAAGGAUGUGGGGUUGCUUAGACAACCAGGAUGUUGGCUUAGAAGCAGCCACCAUUGAAAGAGUGCGUAAUAGCUCACUGGUCGAGUGACCCCGCGCCGAAAAUGUACCGGGGCUAAACAUAUUA
rnacentral:rRNA from 1 species